UACGAAGGGGGCUAGCGUUGUUCGGAAUUACUGGGCGUAAAGGGCGCGUAGGCGGUACUUCAAGUCAGGCGUGAAAGCCCCGGGCUCAACCCGGGAACCGCGCUUGAGACUGGAGAACUAGAGUUCGGGAGAGGAUGGUGGAAUUCCCAGUGUAGAGGUGAAAUUCGUAGAUAUUGGGAAGAACACCGAUGGCGAAGGCAGCCAUCUGGACCGACACUGACGCUGAGGCGCGAAAAGCGUGGGGGAGCAAACAGG
rnacentral:rRNA from 1 species